AAAUAGAAGCCCAGACGGGUAUGCUUUGUCCAACAGUACUACUUCACUAGUAAAAAGCAUGAAAGUUUCUAAAAAUGUGCAGCUGCUAUUCUGAAAAUUCCAGUAAUGUGAAUAGGCUGUCAUGACACUUUGAGGGUGGGCAAUAAGAAAAUGAUACUUGCUUUUUCCAAAAAAGAGCAGAAGUUACACAAUCAAGGUUUCUCAUACUGCGCUAUUGUUUAUUUUAGGAGUCUCUGAUAAGAUUGAAGUCACAAUGUGAAACUGUUGAUUUGAACCCAAAAGGGGACAAAACAUGGGCCUGAAGUCAGCAACUGUACCAUACUCCGGACUUGAAGCUAGAAACUAAAAGUAUAUGCACAUUGCCAGCCAGAUCUUUACCCUGCUUCUGACCAAGCUUCUGGAACGUGUGCUUCAAAUUGCAUGCUCCUGGACAAUGGCACAGCAUGGUGUUUUCACUGAGGAAACAUUCUCCUCAACCAGGUAGAGAUGCAGAAAAAAAGAUGAGCUGUAAGUCUAACAUGACAUACCAUGGAAGAGAGGCAACGGGAUUCCAGAGCUUGUGUUGACUUUCCUUCUCAUCUGAACAU
rnacentral:lncRNA from 1 species